rnacentral:ncRNA from 1 species
AAAUAGAAGCGCCAGAACUAUUUUUAUAGUUGACGAGGACUGAGAUUAUCGAAAAUUCGGCGGAUGUCUCAGAGGUAGUUGUAACCGUUAUCUACAAAACUACAAAGUGAUUUGUAGGACAAAAGGAUAAC